CCACCCCGGGCCCCGGACACCCACUAGCGGCCGCUCGGCGGCGAGCCCAGCUACCAGCCCCGCGACAUGGCCACGGCCGCCGGCCUGCGACGCGAAGGAGGCGGCGCUGCCGCAGAGCCGGGGCCGCUUCGGCGCCCGCCCGCCAGCUGAUCCCCGAGCGCCGCGCUGAGGCCGCCCCUCCCCGCGCGCGCGCCCGUCGGCUCCGACCACCCACCCGGAAGUGACCCGCCACCGGAAGUGCUUCUUAGGGCUGCGCAGCCCCUGCUCAGGGCCGUCUCGAGUGCACCAGCCGUAACUACAGAGUAAAAGAAAUCGAUGGCAAGAAGGGGACCAGAGAAGGGGGAACUCGGGACAGAGACACUUGAAGAGAACGUUGCCGUAGUCCGGCCGCUGAGCACCCUGGGAAGGGUAGUUCGGUGUAAUCUGGCAUCUGGACUACAAUUCCCAAGAUGCCCCGGGAGCGAGAGCACUUUCGGACGCCGUCUCCGGGACCUGGAGGUGAUAAUGAGGUGGUGCAGAAGUGAAGCUUCGGGUAUUUAAACACAUCCGGUCACCAACACAGGAGCUUGGGAACAUGCAGACCACAGUGCCAUUAGUCAAGCAUUUCAUGAGGUUUCUAUGAUAUUCCAUAAGGCAAGAUGGAGAAACUGAACUAGAGUGCGGUGCUGUGGAUGAGGCAGCAAUCAGCUGAAUUAGGAACAGGAACUGUCAGGAUGUCUACAGCACUGAAGCCCAGGACUCCAGCCUGCACCAGGCUCUCACCAAUGCUUGGAAAGUCUAUGUACUCAAGGUAUGCUCAUCGGGUUUGUAACAAGGCUACCAGAAGUUGGAGGCAAGAUAAACACCAGAAGACUAUAAAAGUCAGUUGGGGGCCCUCAGCAGUGAAAGCACAGGUUCUUACACAGGACCUGGGUUUGGUUCCAAGCAUAUCAUGGCUCACAACCAUCCAGAACUCUACAUGGACAUCCCAAAUGCAAGUGGUGCAUGUACAUCCACUCAUGCAAACACUCAUACAUGUCAAAUAAAAAUGUUUAAUUUUUAACAUGAAUAGUGGGUUAAUUUCAAAAGGAUGAAAUUUAAAAGGGAUGGUUAAGAGGCCUAAAAUGCACAAACCUGAAUGGGUAAAAUGCCAACAUUUGGCUGGGG
ensembl:lncRNA